rnacentral:lncRNA from 1 species
GGGAGAACAGUACCCUUUAUAGUAAUAUCUAAACUUAAUUGUAACUAUUAACGAUACGUACGACUGUGGUAGCUAUGCUAGUACCUGCUAUUGUUAAAGAGAGAGAGGGGGAGAGAUUGGAGAGAGAGAAAAAGAGAGAAAGAGAGAGAGAAAGAGAGAGAGAGAAAGGAAUGAGGAGAAGGACAGAGAGAGAGAGAGAAAGGAACGAGAUAUAGAGCAUACAUUGAGAUACAUACAAAAAUAAAUAAACAUAUAGUAUUAUACGAUUACAAUACGAUUGUAAUGAAACACUUUGUAAGCAAGGAAACAAAAAAAGAAAAAAAAAAUUAAGCAUAGUUUUCCAUAAUCUGUAAUGGAUGUAUUCGUUAACGAAUAAAAAAAAAAUGAGGACGAGUGGUUAAGGAUAAUACACACACGGACACGAACACACAUGACACACACUGUACACGAACACACAGUUGAAUAACCGUUCGAAGUAACUCGGGUACACGACACACAAGAAGUAAUAUGAAAAAAAGAAUAAAAAAAGUAACUAAUAAUUAAUAAACACGUGAGUAACGUGACGACGUAAACAAACGGUAAAUCUGUCUCUUUAAAGUAUCAUGUGUCUAUAAACUAUAGCGAUCGAUAUUGUCUUUUUAACCGUAAAUGGAGAAACAAGUAAUCGUGGUAACGUAACUAAUGUCAUAGCGAUAACCGAACACUGCAAUAUUAGAUAUAAUAUAUAUUCAUACAUUUAUAGAGAGAAAAGUGAGGGGAAAGGGAGUGAGGAAGAAAAAGAGAGUAAAGAAAAUUGUGCGAGGCUCUGACGCGCGUGAUUAGGAAAAAAAAAAAAAAAAAGAAAAAAAAAUGGAACAGAGAAAAAUUCGAAACAAUUCGAGACGAUGUAUCAUCGAUUCGUUCUCGAAAGCUUUUCUUCGUUGGAUGAAAAAAGUUUGGAUGAAAAAAAAAAAGAAAAAAGGAGAAAAAGGGAACAGAAAUAAGAAUACACGCGCACACGCGUGUAAAGAGGGAGAACGAUUCGAACAACAAAAUGAUGCGAGACUCGCGUGUCAGAGCGGAAGUGAGCAAACGUGAUACGAUCUCCAGGCACAGUUGAAAAGAGAAAGCCGUUUCAUGUUGAAAAAUGAAAAAAGAAAAAAAAAAGAAAAAAAAAAAAAGAAAAGCAGCAAGAGUAAAGCAAAAUGAAAGCUGAAUGGAAGCGAACAAUAUUAAAUAUGCGUUUUGUGUAUCGGACACACUCGAAGCUACACACUCACGCGCACACACAGACAGCAAAGACACUACUACUACUACACAUACACACACACGCACACGACACACGGAGAAACACAAAGAAAGACCCAAAAAAAAAAAAAAAACCUAUCGAUUAUUCUACCAAAUAAUGAAUUAACAAGAGGAUGAUCAUUAGAUUUGUAAUUAAUUACAUAUAUAUUUUUCAAUACUUUAACUACUUGCUGAAUGUAAACUAUAUACAUAUAUAAUUAUAUAUUAUAUAUAUUAUAUAUAUAUUAUAUAUACACACACAUACCGCGUAGGGCUGUAUCUCGAUUACAGCGUGGCGUAGAAGGCCGGCCCGUCGACUUCCGGUUCUCAACAAGAUCGCAGCGACCCUCGACGAACACCGUCAAAAAACGAUGCGAACAGAAUCGUAACGGGAAACAAGGCGAAUUGGCAACACAGACACACAGUGUAAAAAAA